CCGGGUGCUGUGGGAUGCCUCGGUGGAGCCUGACCUGGAGAAGACGCCCAGCUUCCCAACGGACCUCGGCUUCCCGAAGCGCAAGGAGCGAGUGACGGUAGCCACACAACAAGAGAUAAUGGAUGCCCAGGUGACACUGCAGCGACGUGACUACUGUGCCCACUACCUACCCAGCUGCUGAAAUGCAACAGAGACAGCUUGCCAGGUUCCUGGCCUGCAAGCGUGAGCAGCACAGCUGGGACUACUGCGAGCACCUGGACUACGUGAAGCACAUGAAGGAAUUUGAACGUGAGCAGCGACUGCUCCAAAGGAAGAAGCGGAGGGCACUGAAGGAAGCACGGGUAGCCCAAGGCCAGGGAGAUGGAGAGGUGGGCCCUGAGGUGGCCUUUUA
rnacentral:lncRNA from 1 species